rnacentral:rRNA from 1 species
AUUGAACGCUGGCGGCAUGCCUUACACAUGCAAGUCGAACGGCAGCACGGGUGCUUGCACCUGGUGGCGAGUGGCGAACGGGUGAGUAAUAUAUCGGAACGUACCUUAUUGUGGGGGAUAACGCAGCGAAAGCUGUGCUAAUACCGCAUGAUCCCUAAGGGGGAAAGCGGGGGACCGUAAGGCCUCGCGCAAUUAGAGCGGCCGAUACCUGAUUAGCUAGUUGGUGAGGUAAAGGCUCACUAAGGCAACGAUCAGUAGCUGGUCUGAGAGGACAAUCAGCCACACUGGGACUGAGACACGGCCCAGACUCCUACGGGAGGCAGCAGUGGGGAAUUUUGGACAAUGGGGGCAACCCUGAUCCAGCAAUGCCGCGUGAGUGAAGAAGGCCUUCGGGUUGUAAAGCUCUUUUGUCAGGGAAGAAACAGCAGCUCUAACACAGUUUGCGAAUGACGGUACCUGAAGAAUAAGCACCGGCUAACUACGUGCCAGCCGCCGCGGUAA